rnacentral:lncRNA from 1 species
AAGAGAGGGACCUUACGACUGCAAAUGGAAUAAAAGGUACAAGGCUGGCUUCCUUUGCUUUCACUUGUGCCCAUGAAAGAAGCAAGAUUUCUGUCUUGGGUAUGCACUACAUUUCCACCAGAAUGAAGCAGCUCAUGAUGAUAUUUAAUGAAGGUUUGGUGAAAGAGUGCAACAAAGGAGAUGAGACCUGUUUAAAGGCAGACCAGAUGAGGAUCUUCUGAGUGUCUCGUGGGAAAGGAUCCUGAAGAUCAGCACUGUAUAUAUAUAUGGAACUCCUUCCCCGUCUCUCACACCUGACACACUGAGAGAGCAUCCGACUGCACCUCCAAACUCAUUCAUGUGGGCAAAGAGGAGCCUCGAAGACACCUUGCCAAGGUAAGGCCUUUAAACCCAUCAGAUCCCAUCUCCAUUCAAUUACAGCUC